GACGAGGAUGCAAGUGUUAUCCGGAAUAUGUGCGUAAAGCGUCUGUAGGUGGCUUUUUAAGUCCGCCGUCAAAUCCCAGGGCUCAACCCUGGACAGGCGGUGGAAACUACCAAGCUGGAGUACGGUAAGGGGCAGAGGGAAUUUCCGGUGGAGCGGUGAAAUGCGUAGAGAUCGGAAAGAACACCAACGGCGAAAGCACUCUGCUGGGCCGACACUGACACUGAGAGACGAAAGCUAGGGAGCGAAUGGG
rnacentral:rRNA from 1 species